UGAAGAUAGAGGGGUAUAAAUGAAGAUAGAAGGGUAUAAAUGAAGAUAGAGGAGGGGUAUAAAUGAAGAUAGAGGGAGUAGGAAUGAAGAUAGAGGGGUAUAAAUGAAGAUAGAGGGAGUAGGAAUGAAGAUAGAGGGGUAUAAAUGAAGAUAGAGGGGUAUGAAUGAAGAUAGAGGGGUAUGAAUUAAGAUAGAGGGGUAUAAAUGAAGAUAGAGGGGUAUAAAUGAAGAUAGAGGGGUAUAAAUGAAGAUAGAGGGGUAUGAAUUAAGAUAGAGGGGUAUAAAUGAAGAUAGAGGGAGUAGGAAUGAAGAUAGAAGGGUAUAAAUGAAGAUAGAGGGGUAUAAAUGAAGAUAGAGGGUAUGAAUUAAGAUAGAGGGGUAUAAAUGAAGCUAGAGGGAGUAGGAAUGAAGAUAGAAGGGUAUAAAUGAAAAUAGAGGGAGUAGGAAUGAAGAUAGAGGGGUAUAAAUGAAGAUAGUGGGGUAUAAAUGAAGAUAGAA
ensembl:lncRNA